rnacentral:rRNA from 1 species
AGGAAAAGAAACUAACAAGGAUUCCCCUAGUAACGGCGAGUGAAGCGGGAUGAGCUCAAAUUUAAAAUCUUGCAGCCUCAGGUUGUACGAGUUGUAGUCUAGAGAAUCGUUUUCCGCGUUGGCCUGUGUACAAGUCCCUUGGAACAGGGCGUCAUAGAGGGUGAGAAUCCCGUCCUUGACACAGACUACCAAUGCUUUGUGAUGCGAUCUCGAAGAGUCGAGUUGUUUGGGAAUGCAGCUCAAAAUGGGUGGUAAAUUCCAUCUAAAGCUAAAUAUUGGCGAGAGACCGAUAGCGAACAAGUACCGUGAGGGAAAGAUGAAAAGCACUUUGGAAAGAGAGUUAAACAGUACGUGAAAUUGUUAAAAGGGAAACGAUUGAAGUCAGUCAUGCUCUCCGAGACUCAGCCGAUUCUGUCGGUGUACUUCUCGGUUGGCAGGCCAGCAUCAGUUUUGAUCUGUGGAAAAGGUUGGAGAGAAUGUGGCAUCCUCGGAUGUGUUAUAGCUCUCCUUCGAACACAUAGAGCGGGACUGAGGAACGCAGCGUGCCCUUUAUUGGGUUGGCCUUCGGGUACAUACACGCUUAGGAUGCUGGCAUAAUGGCUUUAAACGACCCGUCUU